rnacentral:rRNA from 2 species
UGCAGAAUCCCGUGAACCAUCGAGUUUUUGAACGCAAGUUGCGCCCGAAGCCAUCCGGCCGAGGGCACGCCUGCCUGGGCGUCACGC